GCGUAAACAACGAUGCAAAGUGCUAAGCUAGUCGGCGAAUUGCGUUAGAUUUUAAAGCCCUCGCUAAAGUUUAUGGUCACUAAAAUGAGUGAAGGAGCUGGACCAAGUAAAAAGGCAAAAACUGGACCAAGUAAAAAGGCAGAAAACAUAUGACUUCCAUACGGAUAUGGAAUAUUAUACGGAUAUUAUGAUACGGAUAUUAUCCAUGACUGAUAAACAUUUGGAAGUGUGCUUGAGGCUGGCUAUCAGCAGCUACUGUCCGGACUAUGCAUCCCUGGCUGGUUCAAUUCAGUGCAAGUCAUCAAAGUAAACUCAGAGACAACCCAUCAUAAGAAAAUCCUAAAAACAUCUUCCAUGUCUACCCAAGGACUGAUCCAGAGGGGGUUAUUUUCCUUGUGUUCGGAUCAGCGAGACACCGAAACAACAACAACACCCUCAGGAAUCCGAGGCUUCUGCAAGGGAACGGCAAAAGCAGGCUAAUAAGCAAGUCAAUAAGAAGAGAAGAAAACCCCAGGCCGCUGCUCAGCCGCAUGGAAGCAGCUGAUUGGCCCGGGAGCACAUCAAGGGGGCGGAGACACGAGCCUGGGGCACACGAGGCGGCACGAGCAGAGCAGGACAUCAUCUUCGGGGCAUCUCUGGAAAAAAGACACAAGCGGUAAAGCGUUCCAUGUGGCUUCACCAGAUCACCACCAUUCCAUACUACCAAAGCUCAGGACCGUGGCGAAGCGGUUCCGUGGUGGCCGGGACUGACCGAUGGGCGUUGACGUGGAGCGGUCUGGCGGAUGCCGCUCGGGCUUCCAUCGCUUCCCGCUGUCCGAGUACUGCUCCAGGACGUCUUCGUCUGACAGUCUGGUGUCUGGGGCGGGGGACACAGAGACGGUACGGGGUUUGGUUUGUCUGGGUCGAAGUCGUCUAUCCUCUCCUGUGUGUUCACGUCAAGGUUUCCCAAGGCCAUUUGCAAGGCCGCGUCGGCUCCUAAAGGACUACAUCCGGUCACGUUAAGGUCAGUGAGGUCAUGAUGAAUCCAUGAUGUGUUUUCUCGCAGAGCAGGAUACGUACGGUCCAGCGUAGCUGAGGGCGGCUGGGUUGACGUCGUCUGGGUAGGGGUUGAGGGGGACCACCUUCCUGCUGACGGGAUCAAACACCAGCUGGUACAGGAAGGUGUGAUUGGCUCUGACAAAGCCCUCAAUGUACUCCUCCGGGACCACUAGGCUCAUCUUCAGGUACGGCAAAGAAAAGGAAACCGGGCGCACCCAAGAGAGUGGCCUCACCUUGAUCAGGUUAUGAGCCAUGGCUGGAGUGAUGUUGACGCAGCGAGUAAAGCAGUCUCUGGCCUCGGAAAGCUUGCCUUCUCGUAACAGCUGUCUGCCCUUUUGAAGGUUAGCUUCUCGGCGCCUGGCGUGCAGG